GGCUCAGAUUGAACGCUGGCGGCAUGCCUUACACAUGCAAGUCGAACGGCAGCGGGCCUUCGGGUGCCGGCGAGUGGCGAACGGGUGAGUAAUGCAUCGGAACGUGCCAUUGAGUGGGGGAUAACGUAGCGAAAGUUGCGCUAAUACCGCAUAUUCUGUGAGCAGGAAAGCAGGGGACCGCAAGGCCUUGCGCUCUUUGAGCGGCCGAUGUCAGAUUAGCUAGUUGGUGAGGUAACGGCUUACCAAGGCGACGAUCUGUAGCGGGUCUGAGAGGAUGAUCCGCCACACUGGAACUGAGACACGGUCCAGACUCCUACGGGAGGCAGCAGUGGGGAAUUUUGGACAAUGGGCGCAAGCCUGAUCCAGCCAUGCCGCGUGAGUGAAGAAGGCCUUCGGGUUGUAAAGCUCUUUCGGCCGGGAAGAAAUCGCAUGGGUUAAUACCCUGUGUGGAUGACGGUACCGGAAUAAGAAGCACCGGCUAACUACGUG
rnacentral:rRNA from 1 species